rnacentral:tRNA from 1 species
AUGGGAACAAACAUGGGAACAAAGCAGCUGGAAAAAUGGGAAUGGCUGGAAUUAGGAACAGCUGGAAAAUGGGAACUCAGGUUGAAACAGGAACUGGGAUGGAAACAGGAAUUGGGAUGGAAACUGGGAAUUAGGGUGGAAACAGGGAUUGGGAUGGAAGUGGGAAUUGGGAUGGAAACGGGGAUUGGGAUGGAAAUGGGAAUUCAGAUGGAAACCAGAAUUUGUGUGGAAACAGGAAUUGGGAUGGAAACAAGAAUUCAGGUGGAAACGGGAAUUGUGAUGGAAUCAGGAAUUUGGGUGGAAAAAGGAAUUCGGAUGGAAUCGGGAAUUCGGGUAGAAUCAGGAACUGGAAUGGAAACCAGAAUUAGGAUGGAAACGGGAAUUAGGAUGGAAACAGGGAUUGGGAUGGAAACUGGGAUUGGGAUGGAAAUGGGAAUUCGGGUGGAAACAGGGAUUGGGAUGGAAACAGGGACUGGGAUGGAAACAGGGAUUGGAAUGGAAUCAGGGAUUGGGAUGGAAUCAGGAAUUUGGGUGGAAACAGGAACUGGGAUGGAAUCAGGGAUUGGGAUGGAAACAGGAAUUGGGAUGGAAAUGGGAAUUAGGGUGGAAACAGGAAUUGGGAUGGAAAUCAGAAUUGGGAUAGAAAUCAGAAAUUGGGAUGGGAUCAGGAAUUGGGAUGGAAUCAGGAAUCCCGAUGGAAUCAGGAAUCCAAUCCCCUCCCGGCAGUGCAGCGGGGACUGCCCGGGGCACACCGGGAGCGGCUUCUCCGCCUCGCCGGGAGCCCCGGGAGCGGGUCCCGAACGUUCUCCGUGCCCGGUUCCGUCCGCGCCGGCACCGGGAAAAGCGGGAAAAGCGGGAAAAACAGGAAAAUCGGGAGCAAAAAUGGAGCGGCCGUCCCUGGGUGGGCUCGAACCACCAACCUUUCGGUUAACAGCCGAACGCGCUGACCGAUUGCGCCACAGAGACCGCGCUGGCCGCGCGCCGCGCCGCCGCCACCCGGCGGGGGAGCACCGCGACCGGGAACGGUGGGAAUACCGGGAAUGGGACCGGGAAUAG